GAUGAAGAACGUAGCGAAAUGCGAUAAGUAGUGUGAAUUGCAGAAUACAGUGAAUCAUCGAAUCUUUGAACGCACAUUGCGCCCGCGAGUAUUCUCGCGGGCAUGCCUGUCCGAGCGUCAUUUCAACCCUCAGGGCCCGCCUGCUUCGGCAGGCGCGGCGCUGGUGUUGGGGAUCGGCCUAACCGCCGUCCCCCAAAUACAGUGGCGGUCUCGCUGCAGCCUCCCCUGCGUAGUAGCAACACUCGCAUGCGGAGCGCGGCGCGGCCACGCCGUAAAACCCCCGACUUUCUGAACGUUGACCUCGGAUCAGGUAGGAAUACCCGCUGAACUUAAGCAUAUCAAUAAGCGGAGGA
rnacentral:misc_RNA from 1 species